rnacentral:lncRNA from 1 species
UUUGAGGUCGAGCCUUUUAACUAAUUGUGUCAAUAAUAAUUUCAUACAUCAGUUGAGGUCUAUAUAAUUAAACUGUUUAACAUCAUCGCCUAAAAUUUAUUAGGUAUCAAAACUCAACAAAUAUCUAACUUGAUACCUAAUGAACCUGCAAGUAACCAAAAUACAAAGUUAAUACUUGCAUAAUCAACGUAACCAGUAUAAUUGGGAUUACAAACCUUAUCUCAUGUUUCAAACUCGAAAUACAUACUAUACCUGCUCUAUAUACUCACCAAGAAUAAGGUUAAGAAACACCAAAGUAGAAAACAAUUACAGUAAUCAAUCAAGAGCAAAUAAAAAUGCAAUGAAAAUAUAACAUAGGAUAACACGCGGAUCAUUUCAAAACACGUUCACAAAGAACAAUAUUCCAACCCCAAGUUAAUCAAUCAAACGAUCAACACAUAUGUGACAAAAGUAUAAAUGACCCUAGAAAAUGUCUCACCGCACUUAUCAUAUCUCAUUUCAUGUUGUUCACAUCUCGAGAACACAAAUCUCCUCACAUUGCCCACCAUGCUCACUAAACUAAUACUAACCUCAUGUCUAACUAGUAAAUUGCUAUAGAUCUUAAGUCUAUGCGAUAGUCUUCUAUCACUACCUCACUUCUCUCAACUUAAGCUGAUAAUAAGUCUUCACUUAAUAGAAAUAAUAGAAGUGUCUCUUUUACACUCAACUUAUACAGAAUAUUCGUAGAUAAAGAAUUCCAGAUAUUUAAUCAUAUCUCCGCUCGUGAUCCAAAUAUCAUACCUCGUAUCCAUGUCCAUAUCACCAAUGCAUCCUUAAGUGUCUAUAAUCCACAUCACCAAUAAACACACAUUACACUUACUGCUAAUGCAUCACAACCUACUAUAUAUGCAAACAAUUACACUAAGUAGUCAAAUUGCUCUCAAAUUCAUGUAAAUACACAUAUCAAACACAUUGAAAUGCAACAUAUAACCAUGCAACAAAAUUAAUCAAUCAUACACGUACAUUAAGGGUUACAUGCAGAUACACAUACAUUAACUAUAUUUAUUCUCAAUAAACCUCAUUAGGGUCAUCACAUAUCGACAUUUGCAUCACCUCUUAUCUUACCCUUCUACUUAUCCUACUUCUUAGGAUAGACCUUCACAAGAUGUUCAAACUUACGAUUGUUGUAACACCGCUUACCACUAGACUUAUCUCAAUCCUUACCUUUCUUCUUACCAUCUUCAUCACUAGAGUCACUACUGUCUUGAGCCUUGUCCAAACUCAUUUGCUUAAACUUCAUUCUACUUAUCAUCGUAUAUAACUCAUCAUUCCUCUUAUCCUCUUUUUAGCCUUAAUUUACACCUCCUUACUCUUAAAGGAACCUAUGACAAUCUCUAGUGUUUAGAUAUCCCUACCUUAAUUACAUUCUUAACCUCUCUAUAUGAAUCAGGAAUGGAGUUGCAAAAUAAUAGUUUUAUAUAUUCCAGACACAUUUUAAUCACAAUUAACAAUGUAUUGAACAAGCUUGUUAAAAACAUUCAAAUUAUCAUUAAGAUCUUUUGAAUGAUCCACUUUAAAGCUAAAAAAUCUUUCAAGCAGUUACAAUUUAUUAGAAUUAAACUUAACAAUUAUAAGUUUUCCAAUUUUUUCUAAAGUUCUUUUGUAGUAUGAAAUUUACCAACUUUUCUCAAAACAGUAUCUAACAAGUUUAAAAUAAUUGAAAUGUAAGAAAGUUCAUCAAAUUUUUUGAAAAAUUGCCAUCGAUGGCUUUUGAAACAUUUUGUUGAACCAAAAUUCUCCUCAUCUGUUGUUGCUAAAUUGAAAAUUCUCAUUUUUCAUUGAAAAAUUUCGUUUCAAAAUGUGAAGUUAUUUUUUAAAAUAGAACCACCAAAAUGCACAAUUAGGUUACACAGAUCCCAAGGCCACAAUAUACACCAUUCUAGAUUCCCAAGAUUUCAUGAGAUUCAAGAUCUCAGUAUCAAGAGAAUUGUCAAAUGAGUUGAGUCUAAGUGUUCUAAUAGAAUGAUCAAUGCAACGUGAAACUAUAACCCAAAAAAAAAAAUACAUAAAAAUAAAUAAUAAAUAAAUAAAUCAGUUUUUCACAAAAUGAUUUAAUGGCAAUUAAAGCACAAAAGCAAUUAUGAACUUGCAAUUAAAUUUAACACUUCAAAUAAGUAAUAAUAUAGGGCAAGUAAUUCCUAAAAUCUAGCACAAACAAUGGUUACUCCACACAAAAACCUCGAGAUAAGCUAAUUUAUUAGAUUGGACCAUGUCUGAAAGUUCAUAAAUAUCGAGGUAUGCAAAUUUGAUGCUUCAAGACCACCACAAUUCAUCCUAAAGUUUCAAUGAAUGCAGCAACACGAUCAAUAGAUAAUCGUAAAACUAAGCGUCCAUUGGCAAAAUCGUCCAGAUCAUUGUAUAACCUAAAACAGAAAACUAACACCACCAAAUCAUUAGAAAUCAAGUUAGAAAUAUUCUACCUGAAGAAAUCGUCUCGAGAAUCUUGCCCAGGCGCCUCCGUCGCCGACCACCAUUGACUCCAAGCACCACACACCUAGGAGCACCUCCAUUUGUAUGUCUCAAAUCUGAUCUCCGUUUCACCAAUGGACCUUUGGAUUGCUCGAAAAUUGAGCUUACAUGUCUUAUUUUUUACAAAAAAAAAAAAAUCUGGGCAAAUUUUCAAUUUGAUUUCUACUCCAAUUUUAUCAGUUUUUGGAACUGUUUUUUGCUGGAAAUCCACACUAACCACACUCUGAUGCCAUUUGUUGCGGAAGUGAUCUUCAAUACGUGGAAUCUGGGCGGAGUUUGCAGUGUCUUAUCCUAAAUCAAACACAACCAACUAAAAGGUCAAACCCACAACUACUUUGGUUGCUCCAUUUUGCGCCCACUUGGACACAAUUAUGGCGAUGUAUUCACAAGCCACAAAAAAUGGUAAAACAAUGGGAGAAUAGGUUAUACUCAAGCACAAAGAGACUGGAUAACAAAGCACAGGCAACCAAGUGUUUUAAA